rnacentral:rRNA from 1 species
CCUACAGGGGGCUGCAGUGGGGAAUAUUGGACAAUGGGGGCAACCCUGAUCCAGCCAUGCCGCGUGUGUGAAGAAGGCCCUCGGGUUGUAAAGCACUUUCAGUGAGGAAGAACGCCUGGUGGUUAAUACCCAUCAGGAAAGACAUCACUCACAGAAGAAGCACCGGCUAACUCCGUGCCAGCAGCCGCGGUAAUACGGAGGGUGCGAGCGUUAAUCGGAAUUACUGGGCGUAAAGCGCGCGUAGGUGGCUUGAUAAGCCGGUUGUGAAAGCCCCGGGCUCAACCUGGGAACGGCAUCCGGAACUGUCAAGCUAGAGUGCAGGAGAGGAAGGUAGAAUUCCCGGUGUAGCGGUGAAAUGCGUAGAGAUCGGGAGGAAUACCAGUGGCGAAGGCGGCCUUCUGGACUGACACUGACACUGAGGUGCGAAAGCGUGGGUAGCAAACAGGAUUAGAUACCCUGGUAGUC